GAUGAACGCUGGCGGCGUGCAUAACACAUUCAAGUCGAACGGACUAAUGGGGCUUGCUCCAUUAGUUAGUGGCGGACGGGUGAGUAACGCGUGAGUAACCUACCUGUAUGUGUGGAAUAACACAGGGAAACUUGUGCUAAUACCGCAUAAUGUAUAAAUAUCGCAUGAUAUAUAUACCAAAGAGCAAUUGCAUACAGAUGGACUCGCGUCUGAUUAGAUAGUUGGUGAGGUAACGGCCCACCAAGUCUACGAUCAGUAGCCGAACUGAGAGGUUGAACGGCCACAUUGGAACUGAGAAACGGUCCAGACUCCUACGGGAGGCAGCAGUGGGGAAUAUUGGGCAAUGGGCGAAAGCCUGACCCAGCGACGCCGCGUGAGGGAAGAAGGUUUUCGGAUUGUAAACUGCUUUAGACAGGGAAGAACAAAGACAGUACCUGUAGAAUAAGCUCCGGCUAAACUACGUG
rnacentral:rRNA from 1 species